rnacentral:rRNA from 1 species
GAUGAACGCUGGCGGCGUGCCUAAUACAUGCAAGUCGAGCGAACAGACGAGGAGCUUGCUCCUUUGACGUUAGCGGCGGACGGGUGAGUAACACGUGGGUAACCUACCUAUAAGACUGGGAUAACUUCGGGAAACCGGAGCUAAUACCGGAUAAUAUUUCGAACCGCAUGGUUCGAUAGUGAAAGAUGGCUCUGCUAUCACUUAUAGAUGGACCUGCGCCGUAUUAGCUAGUUGGUAAGGUAACGGCUUACCAAGGCAACGAUACGUAGCCGACCUGAGAGGGGAAUCGGCAACACUGAAACGGAAAAAGGGCCAGAACCCUAAGGGGAGCAGCCGGAGGGAAACUUCCGGAAAGGGCGAAAGCCUGACGGAGCAACGCCGCGUGAGUGAUGAAGGUCUUCGGAUCGUAAAACUCUGUUAUUAGGGAAGAACAAACGUGUAAGUAACUGUGCACGUCUUGACGGUACCUAAUCAGAAAGCCACGGCUAACUACGUG